rnacentral:rRNA from 1 species
GACGAACGCUGGCGGCGUGCUUAACACAUGCAAGUCGAACGGAAAGGCCCUGCUUGCAGGGUACUCGAGUGGCGAACGGGUGAGUAACACGUGGGUGAUCUGCCCUGCACUUAGGGAUAAGCCUGGGAAACUGGGUCUAAUACCGGAUAGGAGCCAUUUUUAGUGUGAUGGUUGGAAAGUUUUUUCGGUGUAGGAUGAGCCCGCGGCCUAUCAGCUUGUUGGUGGGGUAAUGGCCUACUAAGGCGGCGACGGGUAGCCGGCCUGAGAGGGUGGACGGCCACAGUGAGACUGAGAUACGGCCCAGACUCCGACGGGAGGCAGCAGUGGGAAAGAUUGCAAAAUGGGCGCAAGCCUGAUGCAGCGGCGCCGCGUGGGGGAGGACGGCCUUCGGGUUGUAAACUCCAUUCGCUAGGGACGAAGCAUUUUGUGACGGUACCUAGAUAAGAAGCACCGGCUAACUACGUG